AAUACGAGCACCGUGGCAUGGCGCAUUGUCUUGUUGGAAGAAGCCAUCUCCAUUGGGAUACGCCAUCAACGUGAUAGGAUGAACGUGAUCAGCAACGAUAGGUAGGUGCGACCGAAGUUGAGACCCACUGCAUACUCGGGGAAGGGAACUUCAGCGACGUGAGCCCCGCCCACUGGCCGUGCCUUCAGAGAAUCCGCCCAGGCUUCUUUAUGGAUUUCUACCUUACCCCGGCUGGUGAAGUGACCCAUCUCUGACAUGUUGCAAUGAUGCACAUGUUACAGAAUGUCUUUACCACAAGGAAUUUCUCCUUUAGCCAGAUUUUCUCUUUGCUGACAUACGUGGGUUUUGACAAACUUCUAUCAAGGGUCAGACAGUACAUAUUUGAGGUUUUAAGGGCCAUGUGGUCGCUGUUGCAACCACUCGACUCUGCCACUGUGGCACUACAGCAGCCCUCGAACAACA